AUUGAACGCUGGCGGCAUGCUUUACACAUGCCAGUCGAACGGUAACAGGCCUUCGGGUGCUGACGAGUGGCGAACGGGUGCGUAAUGCAUCGGAACGUACCCAGAGGUGGGGGAUAACGCAGCGAAAGCUGUGCUAAUACUGCAUGUGAUCUGAGGUUGAAAGCGGGGGACCGCGCAGCAAUGUUUGGCCUCUCGCCUUUGGAGCGGCCGAUGUCGGAUUAGCUAGUCGGUGGGGUAAAGGCCUACCAAGGCGACGAUCCGUAGCUGGUCUGAGGGGACGACCAGCAAAAUGGGAACUGAGAAACGGCCCGGACUCCUACGGAAGGAAGCGGUGGGAAAUUUUGGACAAUGGGCGAAAGCCUGCUCAAGAAAUGCGGCGUGGGGGAAGAAGGCCUUCGGGUGGUAAACCGCUUUUGGCGGGAAGGAAACGGUGUCCGCUAAUAACGGGCGCUAAGGAGGGAACCAGCAGAAUAGGCACGGGCUAACUACGU
rnacentral:rRNA from 1 species